CCAAAUUGCAAAUUUGGCAAAGCACAUAGAAGUGCCCCGGACUUCUCCCGUCC
rnacentral:tRNA from 1 species